GCCAGUGUGAUGUAGUGGAUUGGGUGUUGCACUAGGACUCUGGAGACCAGGGUUCAAUUCCCUGAUUGGCC
rnacentral:tRNA from 1 species